rnacentral:lncRNA from 1 species
CCAUCGUCAUGGUCACCCUGCUGCAGUCCUUGGAACACAAUUUGGCAAGCCCAAAAUCUGAGAUUUUCGGGUUUAAAUGGGGACCCAGAAGGAUGUUGUGAGGCUUGAUAUCAAAGUGAAGGAUGCGCUCGUUGCAGCCUUGGUGCAGGUAUUCGAUCCCCUUAGCGACUCCGAUAGCGAUUUCUUCCAGCUUUUUCAAGGUCAAAUGCCGACGAUUCGUUUCAUCUUUCGAGAAGAUCAACUUCUCCAGCGACUGAUUCGGCAUGAACUCGUAAACAAGAGCCCUUCUAGGGCCCUCCGAACAGAAGCCCAGAAGCUUAACUACGUUGGCGUGGUGGAUCCUGCCAGCCGUGGCCACUUCGUUGAUAAAUUCGUCUCCGUCGCCCAUAGACUUGUCUAGCAUCUUCACUGCUACCGGGAUUCCGUUGGGAAGUUCUCCUCGGUACACGGUUCCAAAUCCACCUUGGCCCAGCUUUUGCUUGAAUCUCUUUGUUAUCUUCUUAAUAUCACUGUAGCUGUAACAGGUCGGCUUAGAACUCCUGUAGUUUGCAAGAAACUGCUCCACCUUACGACGGGUCUUCUCUGCUUUGGUUGAUUUUCGAAUGACGUAGAGAAGCACAACCGCGACUCCGGUGACGGCCACUCCGGCGAGGACGCUGCCUGAAUGAAUGGAAAUGGGUGAUCUCAGAGUGAGAGGGCACGCGAAAGCAGUUCGUCCACAAAAGAGCUCGUCUCAGUCGUCUGAUACGGAAUUAGAGGCUACGAUUUCGACGGGUUACAGUGAAUCAGCCGGACUUCCACCUAUCAAGCGGCGAUCUCCGAGUGUCUUGUCCAACCAUAAGCGAACCACAUCUUUAGAUCGGCGGAGGCAAAGACAAUAGAAGCAUGGCCUGCAGCCGGAGCCUACCUGUGAUGAUCAGCAGGAUAUGGUUACCUGCAAAAUGCACAUCAUAAAUUCAGUUUUAUAAAUACAAGUCGUAUGCCCUGAUUUAAAUUCUUCUGGUGCGGGAAAAUCAUGAAGGAGAUGUGGAGCUAUCUUCGAAAAUAUGUAAGGGACUGAUGAGCUUACUUCGUAGAGGGAAUCUAUAGCAAAAUGUUUGGUUCAAGGUCCUGUUUAUUCCACAGCGGCCUCCAUACCUUUCGCAGAGCCCGCACCUCCGACUCCAAUAUACAUCCGCCCAGUUCGCCCUUAUUGUCCAUCCUGCAAUUUGGGGGGAAUCUUCAUUACAGUUGCUCCGUGAAAGAACUUCCGGUGGUACGAAGAGCGUCGAUACGACGCUGCAACUGGAGGGGAGGUUGUCCAUGUAGGCGUCGGGAUUUGCCCCAUAAGCAAAGAAGCCGGGGACGCUCAGGCGGCGUAUGGGCCCACGGAACACCUCUCCGCGGUAACCCUCCGUCGGAAUUUCUAUUGAGCAGUUAACGAUGGUGUAUUCUUGGCAGUAAUCAGGCAACAAUUUGCCCUGUGUAUAGUUCAUCUCGGGAAGGCGCCCUGGUUGCUGUUGGUUCCACAAGUCUUCAACGUCGAUCGUUAGCGUUUGAGUGGUGUAGUUGAUUCCCGUCACUUUGAACUCUGCCUGUAUCGAAACCUGGACAAUGGUUUGUUGGCCGGAGCAGUAGAGUUUUGGAGCGGCCAGGCCACACGAAGGUGAGCUAGUGUUGAGCCGGAGAGGAUAUCUGAUUUCCGGGCCCUGUGAACUGCAUCUGGUUGGCGGGCACUCCCUGAAGAAGGCGACGUCUGGCACAGGCGACGCUUGCACACCCGCAAUUCCCACACACAGGAGGCAGAGGAUGCAGAGGAAGGAAGACAUGGCGCAAUGCGUAGGAAGAAGAUGAGGCCCGUGACCCCCCCAGUGCCACACUAAACUUCCAUAUGAACGAGGAGAAUAGUCAACACGGAAUUUCGAGGUCGUGGGCCCCAAUUUACUGAUGUUAUAGCAAGCGGUACCUGUCAAAAUAACUUGUUUGUUUUUUUGCGGUGGAAAGAAAGAGGAUGAUGCACACAACCCCUAGUGCCACAUCAAAGCUUCAUAUAAAAGGUGAGAAUAGUCAGCGCAAAGCUGGGAAGGUCUUUGACGUGAAUAGAAAAUGGUACCAGUUGUUGGGCCAAUGGGUUUGAUGAUUGUGACUUUGUAUUGUAGUGGAAGGAGCAUGAAAUAAUAGGUCUAAAAAGUAAUGGGAAGAAAAAUGCAACACAAAUUUGUGCCUAUAAUUUGAGUUUUUCUUAUUUUGAGUUGUUUCUCUCUAUUAUUUCUGCUUUAAUCCUUUUUACAAAGGGGCAAGACUAGUUUCGUACUUGAAGUUAGUCCCUAUAGUUUCUUAAAAAUCUCCAUUUUGGAUUGGAUCUGUUUGAUUUGGUAUUGCACUUGGAUCAAGGAUGGGCCAAUGUUGGUGGAUGUGUUGCAGUAUUAUGCGAAAUGCUGUAAGUAAAUUAAAAACUUUUUUGCGGUAGAAAAUCAUUAAAAUUUUUUGCGUCAAAAAGAGUAUUUACUAAAUUUCCUUUGAGUAGAACCUCAAGGGCAAACUUAUUUUCCUCGCUGGUUCCAUUCGCCAGAUGCCAAAGCGUCCUGAAAGAACCUCACUGUUCUUCACAAAUUUUACACCACGGUGGGACGCGAGAUGAAUCGGUAGGAACAAAAGACCAGAACAGAGGCGCUAUGGAAACACCACGUGAUGCAAGGACCUUCAUUCCUCCGAAGUUAGCGGCAGUUCCGCUGAAAAGGAGUCGAAGGUAGAUCCUCCAGCGAAAGAGUUCUGAGACGAAGGGAAAAAUGGUCUGGCGGGCAUUUCCAGAUUUGGUGUUCUUCCUUCCAGCAUCUCUAUGACUCUGCUCAUAGAGGGACGAUCCCAAGGGUUCAUCUGAAUGCACCAAAGCCCCACUACGCACAGCGUCCUCUCUAUUGCACCCAUCUUCCCGUCGACGGCCUCAUCUAGCUCUUUCUCCUCCCCAAGACGAUCGUAUAUCCAGUCCGGAAAGUACGCUUCGCUGGACUUCUCGGUGCCCGCUUCCAGGUUCCUCUUUGCACCAGCUACCUCCAACAGCAGCAUCCCAAAGCUAUACACGUCCGACUUGUAGGAUAUUGGCCCGAAGUUCCUUGAGACGAGCUCUGGUGCGAUGUAGCCCAUCGUCCCUCUCGCAGCACUGAUUGACACCAAGCUCUGCCCUUUAGGGUACAGCUUGGCCAGCCCGAAGUCGGAAACCUUGGGCGUGAAGUCAUGGUCGAGAAGGAUAUUGUGGGGCUUGACAUCAAAAUGCAGAAUGCACACGUCGCACCCGCGAUGAAGGUACUCCAAGCCUCGAGCGACGCCCAGUGCUAUCUCAUUCAGCUUCUCCCAAGUCAGCGAGGGACCUAUCCCCUUCCCUGGACAGACGUACUUGUCUAACGAGCCAUUGGGCAUGUACUCGUAGACAAGAGCUCGUCUCCGUCCUUCUGAGCAGUACCCGAUGAGUUGCAUCACGUUGAUGUGGUGAAUCCGGCCAAUGGUGGAGACUUCAUUCAUGAAGUCUUCUCCGUCGAACUUGGAGUCUGUGAGCAUCUUCACGGCCACCAUGUACCCCCCGGGAAGCUUACCUUCGAAGACGGAGCCAAAGCCCCCCUGUCCCAGUUUCUUCUGGAAGUGAUUGGUGAUGAUAAGAAUCUCAGGGUACGUAUACCUCGCCGGUGCGAGCAUGUUCUGAUUUUGCAGGAACUUCUCGACGAUGUCGACGAAAGCAUGCUCCUCUUGAAAUUUUCUGAGGAGGUAGACGAAGACGCACAGGGGCACCCCAAUGAAUCUGCACAGCAGCAAUAUUCCUACAGAAAGAUUGUGAAAUCAAUGCGCGGGCAUUGGACAGGUUCGUAAGCUUGGAAAGGCGAUAUAAGUGGGAACCACAAAGAGUAUAGGCGUACCUACGACAAUAUUUGCGACUGCUAAGAUAUUAAAGAAUAAUCCCUCAGGACGCGACCAGUAGCUUCCCUUCGUCAAACACCAAAAGAUUCGGCCUUCGGCUCUAGCAAGGGAGUCGAAAUUUUUGUGUAACCAGAGAUCUUGGCGGCUAGCCCUAAAAGUAGAGUCAAUGUUAUUGUAUGACGCCCGAAUUCAUUUGAUUCUGAAACCAUAUAACAGCAUCAUCUAAAAAUUGUUGAGCAAUCAAAACAGUGAGAACGUCGAGUCAAGAACAGGCAACGAAAGGCGGUUAACAACGUAUCAUACAGCUGAGGCUUGUUUCUUACUCCAAUGCAUUCCUCCAACAGCCCCGAGUCCUGUGCCGAGUCCUGUGCCGAGCCCUGUCCGGAGUCCUGUCCGGAGUCCUGUCCGGAGUCGUGACCUCAGCACGCCAAUAGAGGUUGAAGCCCGUCGCAAGACAGUUAGAGGUAUCCUCUCCAGACAAUGAAUCCCAAGGAAAAUCAUCUGGUAGGGGAACUUCGGAUACCUUACGACAGGAGGGUUUCAAAUCUCUGAUAAAAUCGCUGAGCACGAGGUACACACGAUUGGUUUCGUUGCUCAAGCAUUUCAGGGGUUUAUAUGAUUCAUCAGCUACGAAGCUCAAGCAGGAAACCAAAUAAACCCAUGUUGGAUCAAUGAACCCGAAAUAAACCCGACUUCCAUUAUUGAGCCUGUAAGAACCAAAUAGGUCAGGGAACAGAGGUGGAGAGGGAAGAUUGCAAGCUCCCCUCGCCAAUCUUUCGUCGACUAGACGGAUCGUAUGGUUUUCGUAUGAAAUAUUGAUGACAUGAUAUUUUACUCCGCCGAGUUUCCAGACGGCUUCGUCACCUUCGCAGACGAGCUCCUGGUCGGGCCUGCCACCGUGGGGCGGAUCUCCAAGGAGGCGGAAAGGGUAACUGAUUUUUCUAAGGUUCCCGCAAGACCGAGUGCAAGUAGGCAGAUCCCUCCCCGCAAGAACACCAGCGAACCAGAGAAAGAGGCAGAGGGCAGAAAAACUGACUCCCAAACGUUCCCUGGUAGUCAUCUUUGCUCCUCCCAUGGACGUCGCAUGCAGGAGGGCGAAGAAGCAGGAGAUAGCAGCCCCCAGUAGAUUUAGAUUGCCUCUGCCCGCUGUGGUUGCCGAGUAAGCUCUCCGGCGGUCGUGCGCAGGGGUAGAUCGACGGCGAUGCUUAAACAAAAAGAGGCCUGGUCGGGGCAGCAAGAUGCCCAGAGAAGCGGAGCGGACACGACGAGGCCUUGAUCGACGGCCGUCCACGGGGUCUUCUCUGAAACUUCAAGCAGGUGGCCCAUCGUUGACUUGGGAGGUUGCUGCUGACUUAUUUAGAACGAUGGUUGAGCAUCGUUUCCGUUUAUAUCGCUUUCCAAAACCUGGUUCCGUGAAUUACUUCCAAGUCCAGGGAUUAAAGUCCCUGGUGAAUCUGUAUCGAAAAUCAAAUUACUUCCAGAGAUUAAAGUCCAGGUUAACCAAGUAAGCUGAAACAUACCUCCACCAUUAGAUCAGUGACCGUAGGCGUCUUUCAAACUUGACAUCAGCUCCUCAAAGCCACUUAAUGAGGCAGAUGCCAUAUCCUUAAUUUUUUCUGCUAAGGAAAAGGGUUUACAUAUCUGAUUCUGCUCUUUCACUUUCUCUCAAUCAGAGUCCCUUUUUCAGAGCUUUUUCAGUGAAAGGGUGGGGACUAGUUUUAUACGCGCAACUACUAAAGAAGAAUAUUAGGAAGCAUUAAUCGGUUCAUCAAGUCAACCGGAUAUUAAUUGAGGCCCACAGAUAUUUCUCGCCACACGGCUGGCCUUUGCGCUCAAUGGCGAUGUUUUAAGAUAUUGAUGCAGCACGCCCCGACCAUCCCUUGAUCAACGGUCGUGAAGCCACUCUAAACGAAGGAAGGAGGAUUGAAGAAGACAGAAACUCCACCGGUGAUUCCAAUCAAAUUGGGGGAAUGACCAACAAAGGUGUUGGACGGCACCUGCAACGGUCACCUUAUCUGAUCACAAGUUCCCGUCGCCCCGGCUACUCCCAGCCUGGAGCACCCUUCCCCCUCCUUCCCCUACCUUCUAUCGCCGCCAGCCACUACCGCCUGCACUGCCGUUACCUUCCGCCGCUGCUGCCAUCGCCUUGCCUUCAACCGCCGUCACCUACCUAUCGCCCUCUCCACCGUCGACAUUCCCACACAGUCGCCAUCCCCUCUGUCCGCCACCAUGCUCUGCUCGUUGUCCACCACUGCCAGCCAUGCGGUUCCGCCGUCGCCGCUGCCAUUACCUUCCGCUGAGCCGCCAUCCUCUCCUCGUUACCCACCAUCGCUGCCAUUACCUUCCGGCCCACUUCCAGCGGCCCACUACCACCGGCGUGGUGGACCGACAGGUGAACAGAAUGUGAGCCAACAGGAAGACAUUGGCCCAGACGCCCAGCGCCGAUCUCAACGCUGACACAUCAGCACAAGUUCAGAAGGCCCAUGUGGGCCGGACACUGGCCCAGAAGCCCUUUCGCUCCCUAUUGCGCCUUUUCCCCUUUCUCCUUGUUUCCCCGCCUAUAUAACGCAUGAAACCUGUUGUUGAGAGGGAGGGAGAGUAUUUUGAUUCAGGACAGUGUCUCGUUGCCUGUGUGGCUCCCUUGGUUGCUGGGGAAUGCCUGUAUGGCUUCCCCAAAGACCCCGUCGCCCCGGUUGGGUUGGUCGGAGGACCCCACUACUCGCGGUUAAGAGUUCUAUCAUCGCCCACCCCGCCGACGUGCGUCAUCCCCUGUCCGGUUGCCGCUGCCGCCGCCUGCAUCCCCUGAUCGUCAACGGAUCCAUCCACUUAUCGUCGCUGUCCGCCGUCUCCGCCCGCCGCCGCCGUCGCUGCUGUCAUCGCCGCCUUCGCCGCCACCCUCACUCACCACUGUCGCCGUCAACUGACCUCGCCAGCCGGGUCCAUCCACCUCUGCCAGCGUCCCUCCGCCGACAGUAACCAUCCCCCACACCGCCAACGCUCCACCGCCUGUCGCCGCUCCGCCGUAACAAGUGAAAAAGGUCUUUGUCUGAUUAAACACGUGGCUUGUUUUCAGACACGAAAAUGUUUGUUAAUCUUUACAAACUCAUAAAAAUUAAAUCGUAUGAAUUUUAACACACUGAUUGUCAUGUUGGAUUCAUCUGUUAGAGGUAAGUCAUUUACUAUAUCUAUCAAGAAAUCUGCCUUUUCUCCAUGUCAUACAACAUUGAGGAAAAUUUUGGCCCUGUUGGACAUUCUCUAUAUGUGUAUGAAGUAUAUAAAAUGGUUUAGAAUGCAAGUUCAAAGCAUAAUAAAAUGCUAUUUUGCAAAACCAUUUGAGUACUUCAAACCAGAUUUAUAGGAAUUUUAAGGACUCCAAAUUAUUAUUCGUAAUUCUUUGCAUAUGAGUCAUCAAUUGUCAGAUAUGUGCCAACAUAAAGAAUUACUUGAGACAUAUUUUAUCAAUAUCCUCAAAUUUAAAUUAUCAAUCUGAAAUAUCAGAGUUUUUACAUCUAUUCCAUAUUAUUCCAAAUCAUUCUUUCCAAUAAAGGGUAUAGAGUGUACUUUUUAUCUGAAAUAUUUGCACUAAUAAUAAAAUAAUCAAUGUGAAUAUAUCGUAAGUCAAUCUCAUAUAAUUAACAUUAAGUAUCAUGUACAUAUUUCAUUUUGGACUCUUAAAACUUUAUGAAUAAAUUGAAUCAGUAUUCAUGAUCACUAAUUUCAAAAAGUAGGUGAAAAUUGUGUCUUAAGUCAUUAUUUUCCAGCAAUCAUCAAUAUCAUCAAACUUGUAAUUUUAUAAUAAUUUAAUUCAUUUUUACAUAUGCUUGUGUACCACUAAAAGUGUCAACUUACUUACCUUAGAUCAAGAUGGCUUGACACUAUCAGCAUUCAAUGAAGUGAUUUGGGAUACCACAUUUAGUAGUUACACUUGUUUUACAUCUUGUUAUUUGCAAGAUUUGUAUUUACAAUGGAUAGAAGAAAGUCCACUCAUAUGGUGAGAAUGUGUUGCACUACGGCUAAAUGCAUAGAGGAAAAAGAAACCUUUAUGGUAAUUAUGGCUAGUUUUUGAGGCCAUGCAAUAGAGUAGUAGGGUAAACAGGUUUGUGAAUUUUAAAAUGACAAAAAUUCUUGAAAACCACCUUAUGUAAGAAUCAAUUUCUGUAAUUCGUUGCAGAAGAAAUAAUUUUUCAAGCAUUUCAAGUAUGUUCUUUUAGAGAAGCUCGCUCGAAAUUGUGCCUAAAAAUUAAUUCCAAAGGACGUAGUGGGCCAAAAUUUUAUUUAGAUUAGUCCUCUGAUUUCCUAUUGUCAUUACUUUGUGUCCAACAGCUGACGUUGACUCAUUAAGGAAGAGGAGAUUAGUGACGGCCUAAACUGCAACUUAAGCUUAUAGAAGGGCACUCAUAAUGAAGUCCUAUAGUUAUAUUUGAUUUACCUGAAAACAUUCUAGGAAGGUAAAAAUAUUGAAAAAAUUGUGCCAUACAAUCGUAAUCAGAAUGCCUUUAUCUUUAAAAAAUGUUACAGAUACCUAAACUUGUAGAUUUCCAUUUAGAAUGAUUUUCUUAAAGGGAUUAUAAAAGGGAAUUGCAGAUGAUGGAAUUAUCUGGAGUGAUCAAAUGAGCCUUCUUGAUAACGAGUAAAAAUAGCUACUUGUCUAAUCUUCAACUGAUAAUAUGACAGUUAAGAUACGUCAACAUCUAGUNNNNNNNNNNNNNNNNNNNNNNNNNNNNNNNNNNNNNNNNNNNNNNNNNNNNNNNNNNNNNNNNNNNNNNNNNNNNNNNNNNNNNNNNNNNNNNNNNNNNNNNNNNNNNNNNNNNNNNNNNNNNNNNNNNNNNNNNNNNNNNNNNNNNNNNNNNNNNNNNNNNNNNNNNNNNNNNNNNNNNNNNNNNNNNNNNNNNNNNNNNNNNNNNNNNNNNNNNNNNNNNNNNNNNNNNNNNNNNNNNNNNNNNNNNNNNNNNNNNNNNNNNNNNNNNNNNNNNNNNNNNNNNNNNNNNNNNNNNNNNNAUUCUUGAAGGCUAAGGAAAACAGUCAUUUCUUCGUAAAGAAUUGGGAAAAAAUAUGUCGUUUAUCAAAUGGACGGAAAUAAAGCUAAAAUAACUAUCUUAAUUCAUAGGAACAGUAGUAGCUCUCACGGAUCCCAAUUGAUGGUAUAUCAACUUGCCGCAGUGAGACACACGAGGUUAAUUCUGGCUGUGUAUGGAACGGUAGCUUUUCACCCCCUGAAAAUAGUUUCCAAUUUAUAAUGGUUAGAUACGCAUCACCAAAAAUUUAUGGCCAUUUAUCGUGGAUCAAUAUUUUGGAGCGAUUUUGGGAUACCAUAUCCUCAAAAUUUAUCCGCCGUUAAUGAGGGGAAAUCCGUUCAUCAGGGUAUCUUGCAUUGAUAAAAGGCAAACAACGCUCUGAAUCUGCUGGUGGAGAGCCAUGGAGACGAUUCACAGGCUACGAUUCAGCAUCCUUAUAUUGCUGCUGUUUAUUCAAUUGGCUUCUGGCGAGGGUGGGUCAUCGCCUUAUUUUCUUUCCCUUCUUGCUUUUAGUUUUCAAGAUAUCCAAAAAUGUAUAAUUCUCAUGACUGUAGCUAUUCCACAUGAACGAUGAUGAUUUUUUAAAUUCUUACUAUUUUUUAAUCGUGGUAUGCACUGUUAUGUAUGCGUUGAAAUAGUAACGAUAAGGUCCGGUGGUAAGAAAUCCGUUAAUGAAUAUAAAGAUGAUCACAAUUAACCAUUUUCUAGCACGUAACUUUGUCAGAUGGAACAUAUGUUUAGAGGUUCGUCAAAAUCCUUGCAACUAGCAUGUUGCUCGUUUGUUUACUCCUUUGACUGAAAACUAGCAUCCUUACUUUGAAAUAUAUACAUACUCUUUGGGGCAAAAAUCGACGGGUACGGAUGACAGCAUGUCUCGGGAUGUAAACACUACUGGUUUUUAUGGCGUUCUUCAACAACAAGAAAUAUCUGGUAUUAGAGAUUUUAACUGAAAUUUCUUCAUAGGUACCCGAUAUUUUCAGCGCCCUGUGUUUCGUAAUGAUGUUGUCAAGAUAGCGCUCUUGGUGUUCCCCCGGCUCUCCUCUCUUUCUUGUUCGCCCUCUCCAUUACCCGAACUUCAAACCCACCCCCGCAUCCCCCCUUCCCCUCGCAACUCAAAUGACUGAAGGUUUUGCUCGUGAUGGGUGCUCAGUUGUUUCUUCACAAGGAUUUGUGAUUUGCGGUGAGACUUUAGCAAACUUCCAUAUAACAAAUGAUUCACAAACAGUUAAUUUUUAUUUGUAGUAUCCUUCAUUUCUCCUGAUAUCACCGUCAGUAAAUCAUUGGGAUGGCCACACAACCAACGAAAACCCCCAUCAAACUCUCCGCCCUUUUCUUGCCCCACGACGUGAGUCUCGUUUAUACCAACUACUGGGCACAAAGACCUGAGAGCAUCCACAGAUGUCAUAUAUUUCUUACGUCAGGGACAUUAUUUGGAUUUAACUUUCUAGCGUAAUAAACGACGGUCCAAAUGAGUUUUUACGAUAAUUAAAUUUUAUUACCCCUUUGUGACUAUUUAAGUGAUUACUGAGUUCUCUAUCACAAUUCUCAGACUCCGUUAACCUUUUCAGAUACCCCGUGGGUUAUAAGAGACGCAUAGUCUUUUAAAGCGUGCAUUCAAAAGUCAAUAACCAUGAGCUGGCGGUGCUCGUCGUCCUCUAGGCCUCCCAUUUCUCUUUCCUAUACCUUGGGUCCGAAGAUUGUAUUUUUCCUUCUUUUGGUGUCGUAUGGAUAUCUUUCAUGAGGUCAUUAUACAGUAUCUGCGGAUAUAGGUUGUUUCUAAGAAGAGUGAUCUUCCCCCAGUAUAACGUCUAAUUUGGUGGCCAAUGCUGGAGGCAAGAGUCCGGGGUCACGCGGUAUAUGUCAAAUAAAUUAGGAAAUCAGAUAUCUCGUUAUUUUCUAGUAAGCUGGCAUGAUUAGUUGUUCCAUUCGUCCAACUAACCAUUUAGCAGCCUAAUUCCGUUGAAUAAGAACCAAAGCUAUGGCAGAUUUAUUCGAACUUAUUCGCAAACUUUCGUGCAUCGAUAGCAUAAAUUUAUGAGACUUGCCAGGAUUUGACACACAUGCUCAAGUGUGUACAUGAAAAGAUAUAGCGUGAGGUGGUUUUUCUGUUUUGUAACCCUCUCUACGCAGAUGUCAAAGCUGAAGGGCCAAGCUUGUUGCUGCGCAAGAUGCUAGACGAUAGAGAGAGCAAUAUCCACGUAUCUCUUUGCUUCAGGGCGCAUUGCGGGGGUCAAGACUGUUACCGUUGCCGAGGCAAUACUCCCUGCGACUAUACGAGGGAGGACUGCGAAGCACACUGCAUACACAAUGGAUAGCCAGCGAUCCCUGACGGGCUUAACAAGUUCUGAGUUUCGCUCCUGUGUCGGGAUUUGUCACCUUCUAAUUAAAGUAAUAAUAAAAUGUUCUAUGCGCCCGUUCGAAUGACAUAUACUCUCUCUCUCACUCUCUUUCUCUCUCCCUCAUAGAAGUUAGUGCUUUCGAUUUUUUUACAUAAUUAAUUUAUCAAAUUAAACCGUUGCAUUUGAUGAUUUGUUCUAGUCAGACAUCAGUGACACUGAAGUUUCUUCUGCAACUUCCUCUAUUCCUCACCUUUUCCGAGUUACUUCCCAAAGUGAUUGGUGACGACAAGAAUCUCAGCGUAGGUAUACCUCGCAGGCGUGAGCAUGCUCUGAUUUUCUUGAAACUUCUCGACGUUGAACAGGUUCAUAAGUUUAGGCCGAGAUAACUGGGAACCACAAACAGUACGGACGUACCUACGACAACGUUUGCGGUUGCUAAGAGAAUAAUGACUAAUCCAUUGGUUAUUACACCAGGUUGCAAAUUGUGGUUUCGGAUGGCCAAACACCAGAAAAGUCGGUUUUUAACUCCGAGUAGAGACUUGAGAAUUCCGUUCUCACGGUUGUCAAAGCGCGAUUCCCUAAAAGUAGAGUCAAUGUUAUUGGAUUUUAAAAGUAGACUACAGCCAGGAAGCAGCAUCAUGUAAAAACUGUUCAGCAAUCAAAAUAAUGAGAACGACGAGUCAAGGACAUGCAAUGAAAGGCGGUUAGGAACGUAUUAUAUAGCUUAGUUUCGCAACCAAGACACGUGUCUAAAAUAAAAUAUGGGGGAAGAGGGCGAUAGGUCUUGAGGAGCAUUUACGAAAGGUUGACCAGGCCGAUUAAACAAAAGUCCCCCAUUGACUUAAAAAAAAAGUGGGAUGGGUAACGACAGGUUUAACAUCUCACAUACCAAAAGUGCUCAAAUACAUUGAAAACGUACUGACCAUAAUUCAAAUUACGUUUUUGUCUGAUUUUCUUUAGAUCUUUAGUACAACGAUCUUCUUGGAUAUUCUAUAUUUUUUUAUCUCAGAUUUAUUGUAGAAUAAUGCAUCCAAACUAUUCAUCUCAGACAUAUUUUUUCUCUACAAUGAACAUAUGUUCAACAUAGAAUAAUAAAUGAAGAAAUUAGAUAUGAAAUAGUUUUGCAAUUUUUUUUAUUGUUUUGAUGUCUAGUGCCAUUGUCCAUGUUUGGCUAGAGAGAUCCCAGAUUACUGACCCCAUUUAUGACAAAAAAUCUUCGCUAAGAUCAGCAUUUGACAGCAUUAAAUGGCUCCUUCUCACAUUACUUACUUUCUGUGAAUUACAAGUUUGUAGUUGAUUUUCUUCCUGUUCUAGAAAUGGAAUGCUCACAAAACUCAUGUUUUAUAAAACUUUCUAUGCAAAGUAGGGCUCUUUUCCCAACAAAUACAAACCAUGUCUCUCUUGCUCAGGUGUCCAACCCUUUAAAUUAACAGAUCAAUUAUGUCAUGACAAUAGUUACGAUAGUCACACCAAAAAAGCACGGUCCCUACUCAUUUCCCUUUAUUAAAGUGAGGGCUUUCUUGCUGACCUUCCUGACUCUACUGUCUAUUGAAUACCUAGAAUGGUUAGCAAUAAGAUCCCCUCAAAAGAUUAAUUUUUUCCUUAAAUGAGGAAUAUACCUAAAUUUAUGAAUGUUCUCAUAAUGCCAUGAAACAUUUUAGUGGACACUGAACUCACUCAAUUGUCUUAAAUAACACAUAAAUAUUAUGCUAGAUGGCGACUUGAUCCAAUAUUACCAUUGAGUUAAGAUAAUUUUACCAUUAAUAUACUUGCAUAUGGAGGAAAACAUUUUCUUCGCAGACAUAUUAUAUCAGCAAUUUGAAUCCAGGCUUUAAUAAUCUUUGGAGAUGAUGAUUUGAUGAAAGGAACCAUAAUUGUCACUAUGUUCCUCAGAAAUGCUAAUUUUUGUUUAAUGAUCAAUUCGAUUAAUCAUGUUGAGAUGUGAUUUCAUUGAGGAUCCUUGAAUUAUCUUUAUUAUUGAUUUAACUUACUGAGAGAAGAUAUUGGAGAUGUAAUGUCAAUCAGAAUUAAUGGAACAGGUUUUAUGGGACCACCCGCUCCCUGAAAAACAAGAAUCUGGUCAUCCCGUGAGGAGAUCUGGGUUUCAUUUAGUCAAUAUUCUCUUAGACACAAGUUACAUCUCUAUUUUUUUUCUCUACAAAUGCAAAAUCAAAAAGAAUGUGAACUCCUGCAUCUACUUGACACAAGAUAGCCAAUAGAGAGAUUACCCUAAGGAACCCCUCAUCCUUGAUUGAGAUACAGGGUUAAGAAAAGUCAAUAUUGGAGACAAUGGGAGUUUUGAGCUUAGAAAUUCUUUGGGGUGGGCAGUGCAACAUGUUCAUAAGCACCAAAGGAGACAAAUGGGGGUUGAACCCAAUGUUAGAGAUAAAAGCUUAAUAUAUACUUUACAUAGAAACUAGAAGAUAAAAAUAAAAUAGAACAACUCACAACUAGACACAAAAUUUACAUGGUUGUGAAGUCCACUUCUUACAUCUAUAGGUGACGAUGAAAAGAUCUACUAAAUAUGAAUGAAGUAUAGAUGAAUACUUUUUAGAAUCUAGGGUACGGAUCCCUGAUCGUGGCUCUCAAAUGAGCUCAGUAGUCACUCAGCAACAACUAGAGAUCUCUCUAGAAUGCACUCGCCUUGAUCUCUAUAAUGGAAUGACACUAAGAACAUAAGCCUCUCUCUAAGGUUAUGAGAUAAGCAGAUAAACCCUCAAUUUAUAGAGGUUUUAAGCCACCUCGAGAUAUGUGCCAGUGAUAUAUUCGGGAAGCAUGCCAACUACUUCCUCUUCUUAUGACAGAGAUGGUGCGACUGAAUCCUUUCUCCUGUCUGGCUCGGUCCGCCCUAAACGGGGCCAUCGAGGUGCGAGGUGCGUGAGAACCAAUUUUAUGGCCCACUUCUCACGUCGUGUCCUCUCUCUCUCUCUCUCCUCCCCCUCCGCAAAAAAUGCACUCAUCAUCUUUUACACAGCCAUCGCCUGCGAUGAGUUGAAACGGUGCAUGUGCUCACUUACUGAGGCACAUGGCCAACACCCGAAUAUUCUGACAGCUUCCUGUGAGCAUUUGGACCACUGUCAUCAUCGAAGGUCAAUCGUUGGGUUCCACUGAAUGCACUAGAGGGCCACAACAGAGAGCUUCCUGGCAAUUUGUUCAUCCCCCUCUAUCCCCAGACAGAAAAUCCCCAUCUUGACUAGUCGGACGUAAAUCUGUUUUGGAACGUGAAUUUCGCUAUUGGUCUCCAGACUUGGGUCGGUACUCUUCCUUCCCAGUAUCAUCUCCAUUAGCAGCAUCCAAAACUCUAAACGUCCGACUUAUAUCAUACCGCACCGAAGUUUCUCGAGUACAUUUCCAGAGCGAUGUAGCCCAUAAUGCCCCUGGCCAUCGUCAUGGUCACCCUGGUGCAAUCCUUGGAGCAUAGUUUGGCAAGCCCAAAAUUUUCGGGUAUAAAUGGGGACCAAGAAGAAUGUUGUAAGGCUUGAUAUCAAGGUGAAGGAUGCAUUCGUUGCAGUCUUGGUGUAGGUAUUCGAUCCCUUAGCGACUCCGAUGGCGAUUUCCUCUUGCUUUGGGAAGGUCAGAGCUCUUCUAGGGCCUUCCGAGCAGAAGCCCAGAAGCUUAACUACGUUGGCGUGGUGGAUCCUGCCAGCCGUGGCCACCUCGUAGAUAAAUUCAUCUCCGUCACCCAUAGACUUGUCGAGCAUCUUCACUGCUACUGGGAUUCCGUUUGGAAGUUCUCCUCGGUACACGGUCCCAAUACCUCCUUGGCCCAGCUCAUGCUUGAAUCUCUUGUUAUCUUCUUAGUAUCACUGUAGCUGUAACACGUCGGCUUAGUACUCCUAUAGUUUGCCAGAAACUGCUCCACCUUACGGCAGGUCUUCUCUGCUUUGCUGGAUUUUCAGAUGACGUAGAGAAGCACGAGCGCAACUACGAUGACGGCCACUCCGGCGAGGACAGUACCUGAAUAAAUUGAAAAUGGGUAAUCUCAGAAUGAGAGGCACUCAAAAAGUAAUUCGUCCGGCAUAAGAACUUGUUCCAGUUCUCUCAGGCGGAAUUGGAGGCUUCGAUUUCGACGGGUUGCAGUGAAUCACCGUAGCUGUAGUCGAAGGAGCAUGAAAUAAUAAUGUUUAAAAAGUGCACGACAACUUAGUCCCUAUAAUUUGACAUUUUUCUAUUUUGAGUUCCUUGUCUCUAUUUUUCUACUUUAACCCCGUUAUAAAAUCCUUUUUUAUAAAGGGACAAGACUAGUUUCGUACUUGAAGUUAGUCCCUAUAAUUUCCUAAUAAGUUGACAAAGUCAAUUUUUAAAAAUCUUCCUUUUCGAUUGUAUCUAUUUGAGGAAGGACGGGUCAAUGUGAUGAAUGUCUUGCUAUAUUAUGGGAGAUGUCAUGAAUAAAUAUUCUAAAGUCGAAGCUUUUUUUUGGUAGUUCCGACAGCGAAGGAACUCUGAGACGAAGGGAAAAAUGAUCUGGGAAGCAUAUUUCCAGAUUUGUUCUUCCUUACAGCAGCUCGAUGACUCUGCUCAUGGAGGGACGAUCCAAAGUCAUCUGAAUGCACCCAAGGCCCACUACGCACAACGUCCUCUUUAUUUCACCCAUCUUCCCGUCGACACCCUCUUUUAGCUCUCGCUCCUCGUCCAGACGGUUGUAUACCCAGUCCAGUAAAUACGCUUCGCUGGACUUCCCUGCGACCACUUCCAGGUUCUUCUUUGCACCGGUUACCUCUAACAGCAGCAUUCCAAAGCUAUAUACAUCCGACUUGUAGCACCUUGGCCCGAAGUUCCAGCUGACGAGCUCUAGGGCAAUGUACCCCACCGUCCCUCUCACAGCUUUGACAGACACUAAGCUUUCUGCUCUUUAGGGUACAGCUUUGCCAGCCCGAAGUCGGAAACCUUGGGAAUAAAGUCAUAAUAGAGAAGGUUAUUGUGAAACAAAGGUCAAAAAUAUACCGCAAGGAAGAAAAGGGGGCCCACUAUUUAUAAGCAUCUCGGAACCACCUCAAUAACUAUGUCCAACAAGAACCUUAGGAAACGUUCAAACCCUCUCCCCCUCUUCCGGCUGCAUCAUUCCGCUUCACGGCCCAUUUAGGCCAUGAGAAUCCAUCUUCUGGCUAACCAGCAGACACCAAAAGAGUUGGCCUUCCAUUGCAAGUGAUGCUUUGAGAAUUCCAUCGUGACGGAUGUCAUAGUGCAAUACCCUAAAAGUUGAGUCAAUAUUAUUGGAUUUUAGUUGUAAAAUCCCCAGUUUCAUUCCAUUAUACAACCAUAUAGGGGGAUCAUCUAACAAUUGUUGAGGAAUAAAAACAAUGAGAAGAACAAGUCAAGAACAGGCAACGAUAAGCAUUAAUACUGAAUUAUGCAGCAGAGGCCGGUCGCUUGCUGCAAUGUGCUCCUCCAAACGUAUGAAUAGUCCUCCAAACCCUAGUAGAGGUCGAAGCCCUCCGCAGGAACCCUAGAUGGAUUCUCUCCAGGUAACUGCAGCCUGCAAAAAAUCAUAUGACACGGGAACUGCAGAUACACAGUGGCAGGAGGGUUUCAAGGAGCUGAUAAGAAUGUUGCGCACAAGAUACACAUGAUUUGUUUCGUUGCUCAUGCAUUUCAGGGGUUUAUAUGAUUCAUCAUCAAUGAAGCUCAAACAGGUAACGAAAGGUUCGAGUGAGUCAGGGAUUAGAGAUUGAGAAGGAAGAGAUUGCAACGACCACUCGCCAAUCUUUCGACGACUAAGAUCAUUCCGUCUUCGUAUGAAAUGUUGAUGGCGUGGUAUUUUACCCCCACCAAGUUUCCAAACGGCUCCGUUGCCUUCGCAGACAAGUUCGUGCUAGGGCUCUGCCACAGUGGGGAGGAUCUCCAAGGAGGCAGAAAGGGUAGCUGGCAUUUCCAAGGUUCCCGCAAGACUGAACACAAGCAGGCAAAUCCCCGCCUGCAGGAAUACAAACGAAACAAGGAAAGAGCGCAAACAAACUAACUUCCAAUCAUUCCCUGGUAAUCAUCUCUCCUCCUUCCCCGGAUGUCACCAGCAGGAGAUGGCAACUGAUGCAGCAUGCCUCGACCAUCCCUUGAACAAUGAUCGUGAAGUCACUCUAAACAAAGAAAGGAGCAAUGAAGAAGGUGACGAUUGCACCCAUGAUUCAGUGACUUGCCGUCCUUGGCACUGUAGCAAAUGUCCUGAAACAGAAGGAAUCACUUAUUAUUAAGUUAAUCAAGCUUAAGAUUUUAUUGUCCUUGUAGGAAAAUAAUAAACAAACCUUUGGGAGAAUUGUUGGAAGAGAGAGAGAGGAGAAAGAAGGGUAGAGGUAAACCCCUAAACUUACAUUAAUGAAAAACUUUUGGAAUUAUCAUGAGAGACAUACCAUUCUUCUUAUAAUUGAUAACACAUUUAUCAUCUUCAAAAUGUAUAAUAAAAUCACAUUCCAAUACUUGAACCACACUAAGUAAAUUAUGUGUCAACUUUAGAAAAAAAUAAAUAUCAUGAAUGAAAGCAUAUGCUCCUGAAUUUAUAUAAAUAGUAAUAAUAUUAAUGCCUUUAAUUUUCACACUCUUUCCAUCACUAAUAGUAACUUCACAAACUAUAGAAGUAUCAAUAUUUUGAAAUAAACUUUUUUCACCUGUCAUAUGAUUACUAUAGCCACUAUCAACAAAUUAUACAUUUGAUUUACUUGAGCUUAAAUAUGCAUAAAUGAUGAAUAACUUACUCUCAUCAUUUUCUUCAACAAUAUUUGUUUGCUCUCUUUCUUGACCUAAUAAUUUACCUUCAUAUGACCAUACUUCUUACAAAAGCUAUAUAUUAGUUUAAAACUGUUUUCUUUAUUAUUUUCUUAUAGUCCUAUUAAAGAGAGGCCGAUAAAUCAACUGGCCUCAAACCUUUGAUUUGAGCAGAAAAUUAGAAUGGAAUUUUUAGGAUUAGUUCCUUACCUUACUUGAUUGCAAGAUCCCAUCGCCCUGGCUUGGGUUGGUCAGAUGAACCCCACUACUCCUAGUCUAGAGCACCCUUCCCCCUUCCUUCCCCUUCUUCUAUUGCUUCCAGCCACCACUACUUGCACCACCAUCACUUGCUGCCACCGCUUUCAUCGCCCUCCCUUCAACCGCUGAUGCUUGCCCAUCGCCCUCUCCACCAUUGACAUCCUCGUCCAGCAGCCACCGCCUAUUUGCCACCAUCCCCCCCCCUUUCGUUGCCCACCAUCGCCAGCCUUGCCAUACUGCCGAUGCCGCUGCCAGCCACCACCUUGCCACCACCUAGCUGCCAACCUUUGCCCUCACCUCCCACCGUCAUUGCCAUCUUCCUUUUCCCCUCUCUUCACCACUGAACACCAUCCCUUUAUAUGGCUGGGGUUUAAUCCCCAAGUCGUGGGCCUAACAUCAUCUGGCUCACUUCCACUCACCAACCACCACUUAUCCCUUUUAGCCAGCCACAAUACAAACUGCAUGGCAGGAUCAUCCAGUCACCAGGGCCAAGUCAGGUCCGCCCCUUGGCUGCGAGCCACCUGCAGCUGACGACUUGGUCAUCGACAAUCAAUAGUCAACCAAAAAUAAGGGGAAAAGUCAAUGGUCAACACUCAAAGUUCAACAUAUUGGUCCACGGUCAACACUUAUUUUCAAGGUUCAAGUAAAUACCAUCUUAUUUCCCCAUUUCAUUUGUUCAUUUAAUAUACUUUCUUGUUACAGUCGCCUAAGAGAUCAUAGGAUAACCACUUUUAAAAUAUUUAGUUAAUUGUGAAAUUAUGGUAUAAAAUAUUUUCUGAUUUAUAAAACCUUAAAGCAUCUUACACCAAAUUGUUUUCUUAAACUACUUUACCCCACUUAUGCCAAAAAAAUCUUUACUAAGAUCUACAUUUGAGAACAUAGAAUGGGUCGCUCUAGCAUUACUCUUUGUUCUGUGAAUUACAAGUUCGAAGAUAACUUUCUUCCUCUUCUAAAAAUGCGAUGUUCACAAACAUGACCUUUCUAGGACUUUCUCUCCAAGGUAUGGCUCAUUUUUGAAUAAAUACAAGGCAAGUCUAUCUCGGUCAAGUGUCAAAUCCUUUAAAGCAAAAAUUCUCUUACCUUGAGUCUCCUUCUUAAUAUCUUUUACACAAAAAGUGAAAACCAAAAGUCCAUCAUUGCCUAAAAUAAAAUAUAAGGGAAGGGGAAGAGGUUUAUGAGAAGCUUUUCCGAUGGGUUUGCCAAGUCAAUCAAUGAACCAUUGAUUUAGAAAGAGCACAAAGAGCAUAAACAACAAGCUUAACAUCUCACAUGGCAAAAGUGCUGAUGUGCAUUGAAAAUGUACUUAUCCUACUUCAAAUUUAACUUGCUUGUACCUAUGUUACUUUAUAUCCGUAUUAUUAGAAUCUUCUUUGAUGGUCUUAAGUCUUUUAUCUCGAACUAGUUGUGGAAUAAUAUGUUCAGCCUGUUGACCACAAACUUAUACUUUUUCUUCAAUUAACAUGUCCUCAACAGAACGUUAAAUAAAUAACAAAAUAUUUUCAUAAGUUUAAAAUAAACAUGUUGAAUCUUAAAUCUAUCAAAUCUCUUAUGCCAUUGCAUAGGAGAUUACUGCAAGGAAUGUAAGAACUUCUUGUGCAAACAUGCUUGCUUGUGUCUCUUUCAACUCGAAAGUUUUGCAGUUAUUAUGUAUAAACUUCUUCAAGUUUUCAUGGAAAAAUACUAUUUUGCAUACAUCUACUCGGACGCUAUGUAUUGUGACGUAGUUAAAACUACUGGUUCAAUGCAGGAGGGAGAUAUUUUUUUAUAUAAAUGGGGGGUAGGACAGGUUGAAGUUAAAAAACUAGACACUAGAAUAAAAUAAAAGGGAAAAUGGGGAAGUUCACGUUGACCUCCCUUAAUGGGUCGCCCAAGUGGAUCAAAUAAAAAUUGGGGCCCAAAGAUUGAUCCGACCACUGUCCCAUAUUUAGCUCUUGUCAGACUCAUUAGUUUAUUUAUUCGUCAGAUUGAGGGCAAUGUUUGUAUUAAGUAAGGCGUCAAAAAGUCAUGGGUUCAGACUAUAGCCUAUUGCCCUCAAGGAGUGGCUUCAUAAAAAUGCUGCUAAUAGAUGCUUGAGAAAAGGACAAAGGAAGAAAAAUAGCACCACAGAUUUAACGUGAAACGGACAGAUUAGUAAACCUUAUCCUUGCCACCAAAAUAAGCAAGACAGGUUUGACUAUGCAUCCGGGAAAAGGAUAGAAGAAUAGAGAACUAACGGCCAAAAGCCACUGGAAAAGGGGACGCUGAAUACCUCAUUUCAGCCACCGGAUAGAAAGGGCUUCCAUUUCUGAUUUUUCUCACUUGCCCUCGGUGGCCUUGUCUCCCGUUUAAUAUCUUUUACGCAAAAGACGGCAGGAUUAGCUUCGCACCACAAACAAGUGCCUAAAAUAAAAUAUAAUUGAAGAGUGCUAGAGGGUCUUGAGGAGCAUUUACGGUAGAUUGACCGAGUGGAUUAAACAAAAGUACACCAUUGAUUUAAAAAAAAGCACAAAUAGCAUGGGUAAUAGCAGUGUUAAUAUCUCACAUGCAAAAAGUGCUCAACUUCAUUAAAAAUAUACUUACCAUAGUUCAAAUUACAUUUUAAUCUGGGCUUCUUUCGAUCUCUAGUAUAAUAUUCUUCCUGGAUUUUAUAUUUUUUUAGCUCAAAUUCAUUGUAGAGUAAUACGUUCAACCUAUUCAUCUUAAACAUUUUUUUUUCUAGACUUAUCAUAUGAUCAAGAAAGAACAACAAAUAAUGAAAUUAGACAUGAAAUAGAUUUACAAGUUUUUAAAAAAGUUUUGAUGCCUAGUGCCAUUGUUACUGUUCGGCUAAAGAGAUGGAAGAUUGUUGACCCCAUUUAUGCCAAACAAUCUUUGCUAAGAUCUGCGUUUGAGAACACAGAAGGGGCUGCGUCUAGAAUCACGCUCUAUUCUGUGAAUUAUAAGUUUAAAUUUAACUUUCUUUCUCUUCUAAAACUGCAAUGCUCACAAACAUGACCUUUCUAGGACUUUCUCUCCAAGGUAGGGCUCUUUUUUGAAUAAAUACAAAGCAAGUCUACGUCGGUCAAGUGUCAAACCCUUUAAAGCAAAAAUUUAGUGACAUCAGUUGUGUCAUGACAAUAGUCACAAUGCUUACACAAAAAAAGCAUGGUCCCUAAUCAGGCGUAUAAAGUCAUACUAUUUUCCGUUUAUUAAAGAGAGGGUUAUCUUGCUGAUCUUCCGGAGACUACUGUCGUUGGAUACCUAGAAUGGUUAGCAAUGCGAGUGCCUUAAAGGAUUAAGUUUUUCCUUAAAUGACGAGUAUACCUAACUUCUUUGAGUGUUCUCAUAAUACCAUGAAACAUUUUAGUUCAUACACACCUAACUCAAUUUUAAGGUAUACUCGUCAAUGCUUAAAAGACAAAUACUAUGCAAGACGACAGCCUUAUCCAAGAUUACCAUUGAUUUAAUUCUAUAUGGAGGAAAUAUUUUUGUUCGCAGUCAUAUUAUAUCAGCAAUUUGAAUCCUAUAUUUAAUCAUCUAUGGGGAUGGCGACUUGAUCAAAAGAAUAAUAAUUCUGAAUUUCUUAUAAAAAAAAGGAUAAUUGAGAUGUAAUCUCAAUCAAAAUUAAUGGAACAUGUUUUAUGCAAGCACCCAUUUCCUUUACAACAAAAAUCUCGUCAUCACGUGAAGAGAUCCGUAUUUCAUUCCGUCAAUAAUCUCUUAGACACAAGUUGGAUCUCUGAUUUUCUUUCCAUACCAAAACGGAAUCAAAAAGAAUGUAAACUUCAGCAUCCGCUCGACACGACAGUAGCCANNNNNNNNNNNNNNNNNNNNAAAUUAAUGGAACAUGUUUUAUGCAAGCACCCAUUUCCUUUACAACAAAAAUCUCGUCAUCACGUGAAGAGAUCCGUAUUUCAUUCCGUCAAUAAUCUCUUAGACACAAGUUGGAUCUCUGAUUUUCUUUCCAUACCAAAACGGAAUCAAAAAGAAUGUAAACUUCAGCAUCCGCUCGACACGACAGUAGCCACUCGAGACAUUAUUUAUUGUAAGGAUCCCCAGAUCAUUGAUUGAGAUACAGGAAAAAGAAAACUCAGUAUUGAAGAUCAUGGGAGUUUCAAGCUUACAACUUCUCUGGGGUGGGCAGUGCAGCAUUUCCCUGAGCGCCAAAGGAGACGAAGGGGGUCGGCGGAACCUGAAGAUUCUGAGAGCUUCCUGUUAGCAUUUGAACCACUGUCGUCAUCGAAGGUCGAUCGUCGGGUUUCCACUGAAUGCACCAGAGGGCCACAACAGCGAGCUUCCUGGCAAUCUCUUCAUCCCCCUCUAUCCCCAAAACGGGCAGAAGAUCCUCAUACCUGACUAGAUGGACGUAAAUCUGUUCUGGAAUGUGAAUCUGGCGGUUGGUCUCCAGGCUUGGCUCAGCAGUCUUUCUUCCGAUUAUCAUCUCCAUGAGCAGCAUCCCGAAGCUAUAAACGUCUGAUUUAUAGGAGACGGCACCAAAGUUUCUCGAGUACAUUUCCGGAGCGAUGUAGCCCAUCGUGCCUCUAGCCAUCGUCAUGGUGACCCUGCUGCAGUCCUUGGAACACAGUUUGGCAAGCCCAAAAUCUGAAAUUUUUGGGUUUAAAUGGGGACCCAGAAGGAUGUUAUGAGGCUUGAUAUCAAAGUGAAGGAUGCGCUCGUUGCAGCCUUGGUGCAGGUAUUCGAUCCCCUUAGCGACUCCGAUAGCGAUUUCUUCCAGCUUUUUCAAGGUCAGAGGCCGGCGAGUCGCUUCGCCCUUUGAGAAGAUCAACUUCUCCAGCGACUGAUUCGGCAUGAACUCGUAAACAAGAGCCCUUCUAGGGCCC